GACGAACGCUGGCGGCGUGCCUAAUACAUGCAAGUCGUGCGGGCCUUGUUAAAAGCUUGCUUUUAACAAGGCUAGCGGCGGACGGGUGAGUAACACGUGGGCAACCUGCCUGUAAGAUCGGGAUAACGCCGGGAAACCGGGGCUAAUACCGGAUAGUUUUUUUCUCCGCAUGGAGGAAAAAGGAAAGGCGGCUUCGGCUGCCACUUACAGAUGGGCCCGCGGCGCAUUAGCUAGUUGGCGGGGUAAUGGCCCACCAAGGCAACGAUGCGUAGCCGACCUGAGAGGGUGAUCGGCCACAUUGGGACUGAGACACGGCCCAAACUCCUACGGGAGGCAGCAGUAGGGAAUCUUCCGCAAUGGACGAAAGUCUGACGGAGCAACGCCGCGUGAGUGAAGAAGGCCUUCGGGUCGUAAAACUCUGUUGCCGGGGAAGAACAAGUGCCGUUCGAACAGGGCGGCGCCUUGACGGUACCCGGCCAGAAAGCCACGGCUAACUAC
rnacentral:rRNA from 1 species